CGUCGUGCCGAGUUUUGUUCAUACGGUCGACUUUUACCGCGCUGCCUCGCAUUGUGUGUUGUAUGUUGUGGUUACUGACGUUAAGCGCAAGUUCGUCACGCAGUGUUAUACGCGGUAGCUGGUAAAUAGUCACCAGAUGCCGGCCGUGCGACUCCAGUCUGCGACUGCUUUGUUCAGUGUGACCGACGGAGGCGAUUCAUAGUUUUGAAAAACACGUUCUUCAAACGUUUCCGCACGUCAGUAGGGUUCCUUGAUGCGCGUUUUGUCCGCUCACAUCGAGGCACAGUACACGGCAGUGAGUAGCAGCGCUGCAAUCCUUUCUCGACGACGCGUUCUGUGGCCUUGGAAAAUGCCUUGACGCUCGGGGACGGCCGGUAGCUCGGCGAUUCCUCGCUUGGCGCACCAUUGAAAACCGGCGGUCAUCCAGCAGUGUACGCUGCCAGCGUAUUUUUAUUGCCAGAGGUAGCAAACAGCAGUGCCACGACAAACAGUGGAGUGCUGACCAUGCAGUCCAGAAGGUGGCUGAGGCAAGUAUGCUAUAGGAGGUGCUUAUUCAGGCAGAAGAAAUAAGCUUCUGUAGCCAAUGUAAAGGAAGCAUCUUCAAAAAGCAGUGCUACAAGGAUGUGAGCAGCAGUUUCCCUUCAACGAACGGGUCAAAUUCAUGGAAGCCACAUGCCUGCUGCUUCUGGCCUACACAAACAUGCAGCCACCAAAGACAUUCUACACGAACUUGCCCAAAGGCAGAAGGAAGGCACGCACAGAUGGACGCACAGAAAUCAUGGGGCUGCCGUAGAAGCUGUGAAUGAGCAUUAACCUACGUACAGAAAGGAGCGAAGUGGAGCUGUCCAUGGGCCGUGCACACAGUUUCAUAAGCAGGCUUGCAACACUUUUGACAAAUAUGUUCCUGAAUACACCUGCCGAAGUGGCAUUUAAAGGAGCAUGUAGUAGUGUACUUCACUGUUUAUUUGGCAUGAAGCAGCAGGUAUGCUUCCGUCAUCAGCAAGUUCACACAGUACAGUGCAUCUACACAUGGCAUGCUACCCCCACAUCUACCAGCCCGGGAUGUGUAGCUUGAUUGUAAAAUGUUUACUUUGACUUAACACAACAAUUAUUAACAAAAUGACAGGAAAGUUUCGCCACCUAUGCAGGCGACAUUCUCAGUAUACGCUGGCAAAUAUAAGCGGAGUUUGACCAGUCCAUUAGUCGCACAUUUCCUUGUAAACAUCUCGUAGAGGGCCACUGUUGUUGUUGCAAGCCAAUGCGCCGUGAUGAAUGAACCAUGAUUCCAAGAUUUUUUUUUCCUCCGACCUUUGUGCACAAGGUAGCAUCGUCGAAUUGAUUAGGUCAAAGUUAUGCCUUGUCAUUCAGCAGCGUUCAACAAGCUCCGUCUUAGAGCACGUUGCAUGGGUGGUUUUCGCAACAUCCUCUUUGUGUUCUUUAACCUUCGAUCGCCUU